rnacentral:lncRNA from 1 species
UCAUCUGAUGCAUUCUUUGUGAUUGCUGCAAGGCAAAACUAAGCCUAACCGACAAAACCCUAUUAAGCCUUGAUGGCUUAAUACCCAAGGGUUUAUUUCUCAUUUAUGUGAAGUCCAGUAGGGGUCCGGCUGCCCUCUUCUCUCUGAAAGAGCCAUCUGGAACACAGGGCCCCCAAGGUCUUUGCUGUGGGGGAAAAAUAAGGUGGAGGAAGUGCCUGGCUCAUAGUCCCUUGGCCAGAAUCAGUCACAUGACCCCAACCUAACUUCAGGGGAGGCUGGGAAGUACAGGUUGGAAAACAUGAAAUACCUGGUAAGCACUGAUCCUCUCUGCCAUAUUGACUAGCAUGAUUCCAUGAUUUUCUGUGUUUUCCAGCAACUCACCGAUGAAGAUGUUGAACAGGUUAAAGCCAGGCAGGAGGACUGUCAGCGAACAACAGCACCUUAGUCCUCAAGGAAGUUAUUCUUCACAGGGCUGUGGGCAAGAAGAAUGCUUUUGCAGACAACCAGAGUCAUUCCUAGAAGCAAGGACUAUGACAGCAAGCUAAGAUAGUUCUCGUUUGCUGGUUGUAGUGGAUACACUAAUUUCAUUCCUUUGUCGAGGUAGAGUCCAAGUCCCAGCUGGAGGAUGCAUUUUGUUAUCCUGUUGCUCAAUUCCUAAUGGACAUAAGAAAGGUAGGAGCUACUGAAAGUUUCUCAGCAAGGAAGCUACUAAAAAUAAAAGAGAAUCCUUGUCCUAUGAACAAUUCCAACCCUUACUCUGGCUGACCCAGAGAUUGUGGAUUGAGUCUGGCCACGUAAAAAAAAAAAAAAAAAAAAAGGGAACAAUUCAGCAACCCUCAGAACCGAACAGUUUUUUCUACAUCUUGGGACGCAAGUAGAGCUAGGCGAACUUUCCACCUGGUCCAUCAGCUUAGUGUGAAAUGACAAGGGAGAAGUGAGGUGAGAGACACACACUUCUUUUUUUUUUUUUUUUUUUUGAGACAGAGUUUUGCUGUUGUUGCCCAGGCUGGAGUGCAGUGGAGCAAUCUCAGCUUACUGCAAGUUCCACCU